UACGAAGGGUGCAAGCGUUACUCGGAAUUACUGGGCGUAAAGGGUGCGUAGGCGGCGGGGCAAGUCUGAUGUGAAAUCCCGGGGCUCAACCCCGGAACUGCAUUGGAUACUGCCUUGCUCGAGUACUGGAGAGGGAACUGGAAUUUACGGUGUAGCAGUGAAAUGCGUAGAUAUUGGGAGGAACACCAGUGGCGAAGGCGGCUACCUGGACCGGUUCUGACGCUGAUGCGCGAAAGCGUGGGUAGCAAACAGG
rnacentral:rRNA from 1 species